rnacentral:rRNA from 1 species
GCCAGACUCCUACGGGAGGCAGCAGUGAGGAAUAUUGGUCAAUGGCCGAGAGGCUGAACCAGCCAAGUCGCGUGAGGGAAGACGGCCCUACGGGUUGUAAACCUCUUUUGUCGGGGAGCAAAGCGAGUCACGUGUGACUCAUUGAGAGUACCCGAAGAAAAAGCAUCGGCUAACUCCGUGCCAGCAGCCGCGGUAAUACGGAGGAUGCGAGCGUUAUCCGGAUUUAUUGGGUUUAAAGGGUGCGUAGGCGGGCAUUUAAGCCGGCGGUCAAAUGUCGGGGCUCAACCCCGGCCUGCCGUCGGAACUGGGCGCCUUGAGUGGGCGAGAAGUAUGCGGAAUGCGUGGUGUAGCGGUGAAAUGCAUAGAUAUCACGCAGAACCCCGAUUGCGAAGGCAGCAUACCGGCGCCCUACUGACGCUGAGGCACGAAAGUGCGGGUAUCGAACAGGAUUAGAUACCCGGGUAAU